rnacentral:misc_RNA from 1 species
GGCCCUUCAGAAUGCAGGCUAUGCGCUGCUCUCAUAAAUCCAGUGACAAGAUUAAAAAGUUUUCUUUGCAUGUUGGUCUCCGACUUCCAACAUGAUGCUCAGUUCCCAAAUUUGCAAACACCCAUCGCUCUUAAGUUAGUUGUGCAGCCACCCUUAACCAGUGCAAGUUGUGGCCAAAAAGAUCACUCAAAUGCACAACACAAAAAUGAUCCUACCUUACAACUUGAACAAGGCUGCUUUAUUAUAAUGGUUUCCCUUCAUCUUUUCCAUAUAUACGUUGAAGUUCACGAGUAGCAGCUAGAAAGGACUCUUUCCAAAGUCGAAAGGACUUCUGGUUGAUA